CUGCGAGCGUGACGGCGCGAGCAGGUGCGAAAGCAGGUCAUAGUGAUCCGGUGGUUCUGAAUGGAAGGGCCAUCGCUCAACGGAUAAAAGGUACUCCGGGGAUAACAGGCUGAUACCGCCCAAGAGUUCAUAUCGACGGCGGUGUUUGGCACCUCGAUGUCGGCUCAUCACAUCCUGGGGCUGAAGUAGGUCCCAAGGGUAUGGCUGUUCGCCAUUUAAAGUGGUACGCGAGCUGGGUUUAGAACGUCGUGAGACAGUUCGGUCCCUAUCUGCCGUGGGCGCUGGAGAACUGAGGGGGGCUGCUCCUAGUACGAGAGGACCGGAGUGGACGCAUCACUGGUGUUCGGGUUGUCAUGCCAAUGGCACUGCCCGGUAGCUAAAUGCGGAAGAGAUAAGUGCUGAAAGCAUCUAAGCACGAAACUUGCCCCGAGAUGAGUUCUCCCUGAGACUUUAAGUCUCCUGAAGGAACGUUGAAGACGACGACGUUGAUAGGCCGGGUGUGUAAGCGCAGCGAUGCGUUGAGCUAACCGGUACUAAUGAACCGUGAGG
rnacentral:rRNA from 1 species